AUUGAACGCUGGCGACAGGCUUAACACCUGCAAGUCGAGCGAGCGGAGGACGGGUGAGUAAUGUCUGGGAAACUGCCUGAUGGAGGGGGAUCACUACUGGAAACGGUCGCUAAUACCGAAUUCCAUCAGAUGUGCCCAGAUGGGAUUAGUUUGUAGGUGGGGUAAUGGCGCACCUAGGCGACGAUCCCUAGCUGGUCUGAGAGGAUGACCAGCCACACUGUAACUGAGACACGGUCCAGACUCCUACGGGAGGCAGCAGUGGGGAAUAUUGCACAAUGGGCGCAAGCCUGAUGCAGCCAUGCCGCGUGUGUGAAGAAGGCCUUCGGGUUGUAAAGCACUUUCAGCGAGGAGGCGUUACUCGCAGAAGAAGCACCGGCUAACUCCGUGCCAGCAGCCGCGGUAAUUC
rnacentral:rRNA from 1 species